AUUGAACGCUGGCGGCAGGCCUAACCCAUGCCAGUCGAGCGAGUGGCGGACGGGUGAGUAAUGUAUGGGGACUGCCCGAUAGAGGGGGAUAACUACUGGAAAUGGUGGCUAAUACCGCAUACUCACGGAUAACCCAUAUGGGAUUAGCUAGUAGGUGGGGUAAAGUCUCCCCUAGGCGACGAUCUCUUGCUGGUCUGAGAGGAUGAUAGCGCCCACUGGAAAUGAGACACGGCCCAGACUCCUACGGAGGCAUCCUUGGAGCAUAUUGCACAUUGGGCGCAAGCCUGAUGCAGCCAUGCCGCGUGUAUGAAGAAGGCCUUAUGGUUGUAAAGUACUUUCAGCGGGGAGGCGUUACCCGCAGAAGAGGCACCGGCUAACUCCGUGCCAGCAGCCGCGGUAAUUC
rnacentral:rRNA from 1 species